rnacentral:rRNA from 1 species
UAAGGAAUAUUGGUCAAUGGACGCAAGUCUGAACCAGCCAUGCCGCGUGAAGGAUGAAGGUCCUCUGGAUUGUAAACUUCUUUUAUCUGGGACGAAAACGGGAUUUUUAUCUCAAUUGACGGUACCAGAGGAAUAAGCACCGGCUAACUCCGUGCCAGCAGCCGCGGUAAUACGGAGGGUGCGAGCGUUAUCCGGAUUUACUGGGUUUAAAGGGUGCGUAGGUGGGCUUAUAAGUCAGUGGUGAAAUCUCCGAGCUUAACUUGGGAACUGCCGUUGAUACUAUAGGUCUUGAAUUAUCUGGAGGUAAGCGGAAUAUGUCAUGUAGCGGUGAAAUGCUUAGAUAUGACAUAGAACACCAAUUGCGAAGGCAGCUUACUACAUAUAAAUUGACGCUGAGGCACGAAAGCGUGGGGAUCAAACA